GACGAACGCUGGCGGCGUGCUUAACACAUGCAAGUCGAACGGAAAGGCCCUGCUUUUGUGGGGUGCUCGAGUGGCGAACGGGUGAGUAACACGUGAGUAACCUGCCCUUGACUUUGGGAUAACUUCAGGAAACUGGGGCUAAUACCGGAUAGGAGCUCCUGCUGCAUGGUGGGGGUUGGAAAGUUUCGGCGGUUGGGGAUGGACUCGCGGCUUAUCAGCUUGUUGGUGGGGUAGUGGCUUACCAAGGCUUUGACGGGUAGCCGGCCUGAGAGGGUGACCGGCCCCAAUGGGACUGAGAUACGGCCCAGAAUCCUACGGGAGGCAGCAGUGGGGAAUAUUGCACAAUGGGCGGAAGCCCUAUGCCGCAACGCCGCGGGGGGGAUGACGGCCUUUGGGUUUUAAACCCCUUUUGCCCGUGACGAAGGGGGAGUGACGGUAAUGGGGAAAGAAGCACCCGGCAAAUACGUG
rnacentral:rRNA from 1 species